UAACGGUGAAUAGUCGAUGCUGGGACUAUAGAAAGGUGGACUCAUACUCAUCAGUCAUCGCUCCUUUUAAUACUAUACACUUGGAUGAACAGAAAGGGAGGGAAAACGUUGUUUGUUAUUAUUUAUUUGUUACCACGUUCACAGUCCAUUCCCACUUUAUUUCAAAAAUACCUAGUAUUUGUUGUGCUCCGGGCUGUAAGUCGGGUUAUCCUGGCCAGCCAAAAGAAGACAACGUAGUUCUACAUAAGCUGCCCCUAAAAGAUGGUAAUCUCCUACGUAAAUGGGUACGAGUAAUACCGAGUAUGAAUAUUCAUGUAUCGGGAAGCACAGAGAUAGACUAACUCAAGGUAUAUAGAAUAGAAGCUAUGUUCUUCUGUAAAAAUACAUGAUUUGUUAUUGAAAAGCGUAGCUGACGAGUGCUUUGCCUGCAUUGUCAACUUUAAGAAAGUGGCUUUCAAAGUUUAAAUGCCCCCCUGGAGUUCAAAAGUUCUUGAUAUUUUGCAGAAAAAAAUGGAUGAGUUUUCCAAAACGAAUGAUCAAUUAAUACAUCUGGGAGUUUUAGCUUUCGAUGAAAUGGAUAUCAAACGAAGCA
rnacentral:lncRNA from 1 species